rnacentral:tRNA from 1 species
GGGGUCGUGGCCUAGUCCGGAAGGGCAGCGGGCUCCAGACUCGCCGAUCGUGCGUUCAAAUCGCACCGACCCCAC